rnacentral:rRNA from 1 species
GACGAACGCUGGCGGCGUGCCUAAUACAUGCCAGUCGAACGCACAGUUUAUACCGUAGCUUGCUACACCAUAAACUGUGAGUUGCGAACGGGUGAGUAACGCGUAGGUAACCUGCCUGGUAGCGGGGGAUAACUAUUGGAAACGAUAGCUAAUACCGCAUAAUAUUGAUUAUUGCAUGAUAAUUGAUUGAAAGAUGCUAUUGCAUCACUACCAGAUGGACCUGCGUUGUAUUAGCUAGUAGGUGAGGUAACGGCUCACCUAGGCGACGAUACAUAGCCGACCUGAGAGGGUGAUCGGCCACGCUGGGACUGAGACACGGCCCAGACUCCUACGGGAGGCAGCAGUAGGGAAUCUUCGGCAAUGGACGAAAGUCUGACCGAGCAACGCCGCGUGAGUGAAGAAGGUUUUCGGAUCGUAAAGCUCUGUUGUAAGAGAAGAACGGGUGUGAGAGUGGAAAGUUCACACUGUGACGGUAUCUUACCAGAAAGGGACGGCUAACUACGUG